UACGAAGGGGGCUAGCGUUGCUCGGAAUCACUGGGCGUAAAGGGCGCGUAGGCGGCCGAUUAAGUCGGGGGUGAAAGCCUGUGGCUCAACCACAGAAUUGCCUUUGAUACUGGAUGUCUUGAGUCCGGAAGAGGUGAGUGGAAUUGCGAGUGUAGAGGUGAAAUUCGUAGAUAUUCGCAAGAACACCAGUGGCGAAGGCGGCUCACUGGCCCGAUACUGACGCUGAGGCACGAAAGCGUGGGGAGCAAACAGG
rnacentral:rRNA from 1 species